UACGUAGGGGGCGAGCGUUGUCCGGAAUUAUUGGGCGUAAAGAGCUCGUAGGCGGUCUGUCGCGUCGGCUGUGAAAACCCGAGGCUCAACCUCGGGCCUGCAGUCGAUACGGGCAAACUAGAGUACUGCAGGGGAGACUGGAAUUCCUGGUGUAGCGGUGAAAUGCGCAGAUAUCAGGAGGAACACCGGUGGCGAAGGCGGGUCUCUGGGCAGUAACUGACGCUGGAGGAGCGAAAGCGUGGGGAGCGAACAGG
rnacentral:rRNA from 1 species